AUAAAGCACAGCACAAGUAGAGCAACAAAAAGGGCGGGAAACACUGAGGGAAGGAGAACAACAGAAAGCCUUGGAAUCUUAUUAUGAAGCAUGCAGCGAGCGCAGCCAUCCUGAAGGCUUCGUGCAACAGAUAUUCAGAGGGCAGUGGACACCUUUUGAAGUCAGAGCUUUGGCAUGCGCUCCACGCUCCUGAAGGAGUUGGAUUACUCAACUGAGCUGAAAUGGAGCACCACGACCUCAGUUCCUCGUUGUCCCGUGAUGAGCAGGACAGGUGGCAGAGGACAGGAGGUAUAAACCUCAGUAUCUUUGGACUAUGCCCAGUGCUCCUUGCAAUGAGCUGAUCUGUGGAAUAUCUGGAUUUUGCUUGGCGCUGGCUGUGAGCGAACGAACAUCCUUGAUUCAU
rnacentral:lncRNA from 1 species